UCAAACUUGGUCAUUUAGAGGAAGUAAAAGUCGUAACAAGGUUUCCGUAGGUGAACCUGCGGAAGGAUCAUUACUGAGUGAUUGGGUCCAUCCCCUGCGUGCGAGAGUGCGUUAGGGGGGGUGACCGGUUACCCGACCUUUUGUCAUUUGGGCUGGCGCCUGACCUCCUCCCCCUAAAAAGGGGGGCAGAGACGGCCUAGCAUUUUCAGGUUCGGCGGAGGUGGUGGGCGCCCCCCCCCCUAGUGGAGGGGCGACCUGCCCGCCGCCGGUGGCAUUUCCCAACUCUUUGUUCGUCAAGAUGAAGUCUGAAGAUGUCGGAAAAGCAAAACAAAAAAAGCAAAACUUUCAACAACGGAUCUCUUGGCUCUGGCAUCGAUGAAGAACGCAGC
rnacentral:misc_RNA from 1 species